AUUUUCAUGCCAGUCCUACUGGGGCCCAUUGCGGGCAAACAAAAACAAGAGAAGCCAUUUCAAAGCGGUUCUACUGGCCAGGGAUGUCAGUGGACAUCAAUAAUUGGGUUUCCCAAUGUGCACUUUGCCAGGCAAGUGCUGCAACAAUUAAAAAACCAGCGGAAUACAUUCCGAUAAAGGUCUCUCAGCCAUUUGAACUGGUUGGGAUGGACCUUAUUGGAAAACUUACUGAAACCAACAAUGGACAUCAAUACAUAUGUGUUUUUAUUGAUUAUUUUACAAAAUGGCCACAAGCAUACCCUUUAAAGUCAAAAUCAGCCGGGGAAGUGACAAACUGUCUCAUAAAAUUUGUCCACCAGUUCGAAGCCCCCAAAAGGAUUCUUACUGACCAAGGCAAAGAAUUUGUCAAUUCUCUCAACAAAAGGGUU